GACGAACGCUGGCGGCAUGCUUAACACAUGCAAGUCGAACGGAAAGGCCCUGCUUUUGUGGGGUGCUCGAGUGGCGAACGGGUGAGUAACACGUGAGUAACCUGCCCUUGACUUUGGGAUAACUUCAAGAAACUGGGGCUAAUACCGGAUAGGAGCUCCUGCUGCAUGGUGGGGGUUGGAAAGUUUCGGCGGUUGGGGAUGGACUCGCGGCUUAUCAGCUUGUUGGUGGGGUAGUGGCUUACCAAGGCUUUGACGGGUAGCCGGCCUGAGAGGGUGACCGGCCACAUUGGGACUGAGAUACGGCCCAGACUCCUACGGGAGGCAGCAGUGGGGAAUAUUGCACAAUGGGCGGAAGCCUGAUGCAGCAACGCCGCGUGCGGGAUGACGGCCUUCGGGUUGUAAACCGCUUUCGCCUGUGACGAAGCGUGAGUGACGGUAAUGGGUAAAGAAGCACCGGCUAACUACGUG
rnacentral:rRNA from 1 species